AAUUGGAGGGCAAGUCUGGUGCCAGCAGCCGCGGUAAUUCCAGCUCCAAUAGCGUAUAUUAAAGUUGUUGCAGUUAAAAAGCUCGUAGUUGAAUUUCGGGAUCAAUAUUUCGGUCAUGCCGUUGGUAUGCACUGUUAUCAUUGAUUUCUCACCUUCUAAAGAACCGUAAUGCCAUUAAUUUGGUGCUACGGGGAAUUAGGACUGUUACCUUGAAAAAAUUAGAGUGUUUAAAGCAGGCUCACGCUUGAAUACAUUAGCAUGGAAUAAUGAAAUAGGACAUCCGAUUCUAUUUUGUUGGUUUCUAGGAUCGAUGUAAUGAUUAAUAGGGAUAGUUGGGGGCAUUAGUAUUCAAUUGUCAGAGGUGAAAUUCUUGGAUUUAUUGAAGACUAACUACUGCGAAAGCAUUUGCCAAGGAUGUUUUCAUUAAUCAAGAACGAAAGUUAGGGGAUCGAAGACGAUCAGAUACCGUCGUAGUCUUAACCAUAAACUAUGCCGACUAGGGAUCGGAUGAUGUUAAUUUUUUAAUGACUCAUUCGGCGCCUUACGGGAAACCAAAGUGU
rnacentral:rRNA from 1 species